AUGUGAAAUUAGUAUCGUCAUAGAUAGUACUGUACGUAACCAAAGUCGUGGUCGGAGCGACAUAAAAUUAUUACAAAUAAAUAUUAGAAAUCAUGUUAAAAAACAUUAUUCCUAUUAAAACGAUAUAUUCGAAGUUCCGACCCUGGAAAAAUGAAAUACGAUCGUUUGUUAAUAUGAGAAAAAUAAAACGUGCGUUCAGACGUUUUGUUUAUCAGUCAGAAAGUAAACCUCCUUAUUUUCAUAUUACACAAGUUGGUGAUCCUGUUUUGCGCACACCAACCUUGCCGGUAAAUCUCGAAGUUAUUCAAUUCUUUCAAUUUCAAAUGGUCAUAAAACAAAUGAAAAUAAUUAUGGAAAUUUAUGAUACCUUUGGAUUAUCUGCUUGUCAAAUUGGUUUACCAUGGAAAGUUUUUAUGAUACAAGUUACAGAAAAACAUUUAAAGGAUGUUGGUGAAAAUUUGAUGAAAAUUCGUGAAAUGGAAGUAAUACCAUUACAAGUAUUUAUUAACCCUACCAUUCGUACUAUAGAUCAUAAAUUAGUUUCAUUUCCUGAAGUAUGUGCUAGUGUUCGAGGUUACUCCGCAGAAGUACCUAGAGCAAGAGAAGUUGAGAUUAAAGCUUUCAAUGAAUCCUCUGAAGAAGUUACGGUCAGGUUCAAAGGAUGGGCAGCAAGAAUCAUUCAACAUGAAAUGGAUCAUUUGAAUGGAAUAUUAUACACGGAUAAAAUGGAUAGACGAACGUUUUCUUGUUGUUAUUGGAAUGAAGUGAACAAGCAUAAAGGACUCAUAGAGAUACGAUUCGAUUCAUAAAAUUCGUAUGAAAAGUUUUGGAGAAAAUAUGUAGGUGAAUAUAUAUAUAAAUAAUAUCAUAUAUAGUCAUGCAGACAAAAUCAUGAAAAUAGAAAAACGUCCUGCAUAUCGAUGGGAAGUUCUCCAGAUUUUCGUGAGCUUUCGAAAAGUGGUAAGCUUGUUCCAGUAUGCGUUUCACUGUAGGAUUCACUUCUUGAUGUUGUUGAAGUUGACGUGCAAGGAUGAUCCGAGGAUGUACAGGAUGACGUACCGUUCCGUGAUAUCCUGGUGUUAGCUUCGGGACUUCCGGUGCAACUAUAUCGUGAUGUAACUGCCUCUGAACGAGAGAGAGCAGGUUCAGGGGUGACCCGCACCCAUGGACACCAUGAAAAAAGUUGAGCGAAACCACGACGGAAUCUAAACGAUCGAAUACAAACUUAGACAUAUUCUAAAUGAAUGAACAAGUAUAUUUAGAUUAUAGCGAAUGAAAUAAUUGUUUUAGACAAUUAUUCGAGAUGUUUCAAAUAUUUUUUUAAUUAAGUGCAAUUAGGUAAAGUUUCUUAUAAAUA